rnacentral:piRNA from 1 species
UUUUAAAGGACGAGGGCAGG